rnacentral:misc_RNA from 1 species
CGAACAGGUCCCCAUAAUGCAGUAUGAUGAAUUAAGGGCCUGCAAGCUUGUGCAAUCAAAAGCAGGCCCCAUCCUGUUGGCAAGAAGGCAAGAAUGCAAAGAAUGAUAUCCCUGAUUGUCAUAUGAGGGACUGCAACUAAAAUAAUGAAACCAGCCACGCAGAUAAUGAAAAUAAAACCCUCAGCCAGCCUAAAUAACAACUGAAAGCUUGCACUGAAUUUACG